CCCAGACUCCUACGGGAGGCAGCAGUGGGGAAUAUUGCACAAUGGGGGGAACCCUGAUGCAGCGACGCCGCGUGGGUGAAGAAGUCAUUCGUGACGUAAAGCUCUAUCAGCAGGGAAGAAAAUGACGGUACCUGACUAAGAAGCCCCGGCUAACUACGUGCCAGCAGCCGCGGUAAUACGUAGGGGGCAAGCGUUAUCCGGAUUUACUGGCUGUAAAGGGAGCGUAGACGGCAUGGCAAGUCAGAUGUGAAAGCCCGGGGCUCAACCCCGGGACUGCAUUUGAAACUGUCAGGCUGGAGUGCAGGAGAGGUAAGUGGAAUUCCUAGUGUAGCGGUGAAAUGCGUAGAUAUUAGGAGGAACACCAGUGGCGAAGGCGGCUUACUGGACGACAACUGACGGUGAGGCGCGAAAGCGCGGGGAGCAAACAGGAUUAGAUACCCCCGUA
rnacentral:rRNA from 1 species